rnacentral:snRNA from 1 species
AUCCUUAUGCUAGGGCAUUACGCAUAUCAGUGAGGAUUCGUCCGAGAUUGUGUAUUUGCUGGUUGAAAACUUUAACCUUGACCGCUCCUACGUGUCUUCGGAUGCGUAGGGAAUUUUUGGAAAAUUCCUUG